rnacentral:rRNA from 1 species
AAUCAACGCUGGCGGCGUGCCUCAGACAUGCAAGUCGAACGCGAAAGUCCCCUCGGGGAGUGAUUAGAGUGGCGCACGGGUGAGUAACACGUAGGUAAUCUACCUUCGAGUGGGGAAGUAACUCAGGGAAACGUUGAGCUAAUACCGCAUAAUGCAGCGGCACCACAUGGUGACAGUUGUUAAAGCAUUUAUUGCGCUUGAAGAGGAGCCUGCGGCGGAUUA